rnacentral:rRNA from 1 species
UAAUACGGGGGGUGCAAGCGUUAUUCGGAUUUAUUGGGCGUAAAGGGCGCGCAGGCGGCCAUGCAAGUCAGAUGUGAAAGCCCGGGGCUCAACCCCGGAAGUGCAUUUGAAACGGUGUGGCUUGAGUAUGGUAGAGGGAAGUGGAAUUCCAGGUGUAGCGGUGAAAUGCGUAGAUAUCUGGAGGAACACCGGUGGCGAAGGCGACUUCCUGGGCCAAUACUGACGCUGAGGCGCGAAGGCGUGGGUAGCAAACAGGAUUAGAUACCCUGGUAGUCCACGCAGUAAACGGUGAUCACUAGGUGUAGCGGGUAUUGACCCCUGCUGUGCCGGAGCUAACGCAUUAAGUGAUCCGCCUGGGGAGUACGGUCGCAAGAUUA